GAGGCGAACCGGGGGAACUGAAACAUCUAAGUACCCCGAGGAAAAGAAAUCAACCGAGAUUCCGAAAGUAGCGGCGAGCGAAAUUGGACUAGCCCUUAAGCUUUACACGCGUUAGACGAACGGUCUGGAAAGUCCGACGAUACAGGGUGAUAGUCCCGUAGUUGACGACGUGUGUUCAGUGAAAUCGAGUAGGGCGGGACACGUGAUAUCCUGUCUGAAUAUGGGGGGACCAUCCUCCAAGGCUAAAUACUACUGACUGACCGAUAGUGAA
rnacentral:rRNA from 1 species